rnacentral:ncRNA from 1 species
UCCUUUCUUUAUAUUAGAAUAAGGGCGAAAGGAG